rnacentral:lncRNA from 1 species
GAUGAGAAGGGAAAGGAGAGACUGAAAGCAAGGUACUGGGAGUAGAAGAUGCUCACCUGUUGGGACAGAACCGUUGAUCACAUGCUUAGUGUCCAUGGCCACCUUCCACCCUGGUAUCGGGAUCCGACACUGUGACUGGUCCUAGGCAGCAAGCACACCAUGACUGGCUGACUGAUCCUGAACAUGUUUUCUCCUUUGUAAAACACUAUUGUCUGGCCUCUUUUAACGCUAAUGGAGAUGAGGGCACCCAGCAAGUAUCAGGGCGAAGCUGGCUGGUGAGCGGAGAAGUUUUCUUUUCAGAGAGGAGAAACAGAAGUCUUUCACUGUUUCUUUAUUGAAGCUGUGAUUCUGGGAUCUCCAGGACCCAUCUUGUAAUAACAAGGUGACAGCAAGGAGGAUGAAAGAAAACCUUACUAAAGACAAAGCAGUUAAAAGACAAAAGAGUAGAUGUCCCUGAGGACAUCAGUUAAGAAUAUCAGUCUACACUAUUGUUGAUAGAUGGUGAGAAAAACCCAAUAUUGGUCUCAGACACUAUCAAACAAUUUUCUCUUUCUUCCAGCCCAAAGUGUCCCUGACUGAUUAGGCUAAAGUACUGAGAAAUAUAACUUCUUGUUCCAUUUCCAAGAAGCACAGCCUGGCUGAUUCCUUUUACAAAGUUGGAUUCACAGUGCUUACAGUAAAGGGGCCCAGAAGAACCUCUUUCACUCAGUAGGAGGCUAAGGAAGUGCCACAUGGAGUCUAGCCAAGUUCCAGUGACCAAGGCCCACUUGAGAUAAUGACUCAUCACAUUUCUGGAAAUCACAGCCUGCCACCCAAAACCAGACAGCUUGUCCAUUGCUCUGUUGGGUCAGUGUGAAUGCAGCAUUCUUAACUGUCUGUUCAGAGUCCUGGAGGUGACUACAAGAGCUAAAGUCCACCAGCUGGAACCUGUGUGACCUCAGGCACCCGGGAAGUUUGGGCUCACCUUCUAAGAGAUGAGUCCUCUAUCAUUUCAGAUUUCAAAAUGGGUGUUGAUGCUGGAGCUGAUGUCACAAACACGAGAGCCUCUGCCACAGAGGCCACAGGUUUCUGUGCAGGUGACAGAAGGACUACUUGCUAAGGAUGCCUUAGGAGUGACCAACGGCUCAUCCAGAAGAUGGUCUGGAGCUCUGCCGACCUGUACGGAUGGGUGGACCAUUCCUCUCAGUGUGUCUCAAACCUGUGUGCACCCACCGCCAGGACCUUGGAGCUGUGCACAGGCUCCUGUAACUGUUUUUGUCCAGGCAGGAGUGUGAAGUGACUCAUUUCCAACACACAUCCAGCCCAUAUUGGUGCUGCUGAUUCCAGGACCACCCCCUGGGAGCCCUUUCCAACCUUGGACCAGCAGGAAUCUCCAGAGAGCUAUAUGCUUUCAAGUCCCC